rnacentral:rRNA from 1 species
AUGCACGCACGCAGCCCACCCCCACCACCUCGCCCGCGUGCCGAUCCACUCGCCAGCCGGCAAACCCUCCGCCACCGCCAGACCUUCGGCCGGCAAACCCUCCACCGCCGGCAGACCUUCGUCCUCCCCUUCCUCUGCCCCGCCUCCUCCGGCUCCCUCCUUCCCCUUCUUGUGGGCAGGGCGCCCGACGCGGGAGGCCGCUUCGGCUCCUCCAGCGGGGACUGGAGGCGCAAGCCGGGCUUGGCCGGUGCGGGAGGCAGCUUCGACUCCUCCAGCGGGGAUGGGCGGCGCAAGACGGGCUUGGCCGGUGCUGGCAGAGCGGCCGGCGUGGGAGGCCGCUGCAGCUUCUCCAGCAGGGCGGGCGGCGCGAGCAGGGCUUGGCCGGUGCGGGCAGAGCGGCCGGCGCGGGAGGCUGCUGCAGCUUCUCCAAGGGCGGGCGGCGCGAGCAGGACAUGGCUGUUGCGGGCAGAGCGGCCAGCGCGGGAGGCCGCUGCGAGCGACGCACGAGCGGGCGGCGGGCGUGUGGCGCGAGAUGGGCACGACCGGCGCGGGAGGCCGCUGCGGGCAGGGGAACAGCUCCGGUUGGUUCUUCGGGCCGGCGUGGGCAUAGCGGAUAGCUUCUCCUCCGUUUGGCUCCCAUUGGUGCUGCGGGCCGGCGUGGGCAGGGCAAGGCGGUGGAAGUGGAAUCCCUGUGGUUUUGUCUCCGGCCAAAAGAAGGACGGCCGGUGGUGA